rnacentral:misc_RNA from 1 species
AAAAAUCGCCAUCGUUGACACUGCGAAGAAUCGUGAAAUGACUUACUGCUAUGGAUGUAAACCACGCCCUUCCGGUCCACUACCCGGCCCUAUCCUUGUACUUCUCGCCGUAGUUUUCAUCUUGAUCGGAUUGUCCUCCCUGUUCCCCUCCGAACCAAUCGACUUCUCCGAAUUCCAGAUCAACUGGCCUCUUCUCGCUGUUCCGAUCAUCAUUCUUGUUCUUGUUCGCUGUUUGUCGUCCAUGGAUUCUUCAUCCAGGUACUAUGCCUGCGCUUGCGAUCGCGGCUGGAAGAUGAACUGUCGGUGCGGCCGUGGCGGCGCGUGGUAACUGGUAAACCUAAUUUAAUUGAA